AGAGUUUGAUCCUGGCUCAGAUUGAACGCUGGCGGCAUGCUUUACACAUGCAAGUCGAACGGCAACGAGGAGAAGCUUGCUUCUCUGUCGGCGAGUGGCGAACGGGUGAGUAUAGCAUCGGAGCGUGCCAAGUAGUGGGGGAUAACCAAACGAAAGUUUGGCUAAUACCGCGUAAGCUCUAAGGAGGAAAGUAGGGGACCUAAAUAAGGCCUUACGCUAUUUGAUCGGCCGAUGUCGGAUUAGCUAGUUGGUGGGGUAAUGGCUCACCAAGGCAAUGAUCCGUAGCGGGUCUGAGAGGACGAUCCGCCACACUGGGACUGAGACACGGCCCAGACCCCUACGGGAGGCAGCAGUGGGGAAUUUUGGACAAUGGGGGAAACCCUGAUCCAGCCAUGCCGCGUGUAUGAAGAAGGCCUUAGGGUUGUAAAGUACUUUUGUUAGGGAAGAAAAGCUAGUUUUUAAUAAAAAUUAGUGAUGACGGUACCUAAAGAAUAAGCACCGGCUAACUACGUGCCAGCAGCCGCGGUAAUACGUAGGGUGCAAGCGUUAAUCGGAAUUAUUGGGCGUAAAGCGAGUGCAGACGGUUACUUAAGCCAGAUGUGAAAUCCCCAAGCUUAACUUGGGACGUGCAUUUGGAACUGGGUGACUAGAGUGUGUCAGAGGGAGGUAGAAUUCCACAUGUAGCGGUGGAAUGCGUAGAGAUGUGGAGGAAUACCGAUGGCGAAGGCAGCCUCCUGGGAUAACACUGACGUUGAGGCUCGAAAGCGUGGGGAGCAAACAGGAUUAGAUACCCUGGUAGUCCACGCCCUAAACGAUGACAAUUAGCUGUUGGGCUUUGAAAGGCUUAGUAGCGAAGCUAACGCGAGAAAUUGUCCGCCUGGGGAGUACGGUCGCAAGAUUAAAACUCAAAGGAAUUGACGGGGACCCGCACAAGCGGUGGAUGAUGUGGAUU
rnacentral:rRNA from 1 species